rnacentral:rRNA from 1 species
CCUACGGGCGGCUGCAGUGGGGAAUAUUGCACAAUGGGCGCAAGCCUGAUGCAGCCAUGCCGCGUGUGUGAAGAAGGCCUUCGGGUUGUAAAGCACUUUCAGCGGGGAGGAAGGCGUUAAGGUUAAUAACCUUGUCGAUUGACGUUACCCGCAGAAGAAGCACCGGCUAACUCCGUGCCAGCAGCCGCGGUAAUACGGAGGGUGCAAGCGUUAAUCGGAAUUACUGGGCGUAAAGCGCACGCAGGCGGUCUGUCAAGUCGGAUGUGAAAUCCCCGGGCUCAACCUGGGAACUGCAUUCGAAACUGGCAGGCUAGAGUCUUGUAGAGGGGGGUAGAAUUCCAGGUGUAGCGGUGAAAUGCGUAGAGAUCUGUAGGAAUACCGGUGGCGAAGGCGGCCCCCUGGACAAAGACUGACGCUCAGGUGCGAAAGCGUGGGGAGCAAACAGGAUUAGAUACCCCGGUAGUC